rnacentral:snoRNA from 1 species
GCAAAGUUCGUUUGGUAGGCUUAAGAAAAUGAAAGACGCCCGAGUCAGACUGCGGAACCAUUCCUUGUUGCCUUCCUUCUGAGAAUAGC